rnacentral:tmRNA from 1 species
CAGGGUUCGAUUCCCUGCUGCUCCACCA